AACGCGAAGAACCUUACCUGGCCUUGACAUGCUUUGGACUGGCGGUGAAAGGCGCCUUCUCUUUGGAGCCGGAGCACAGGUGCUGCAUGGCUGUCGUCAGCUCGUGUCGUGAGAUGUUGCGUUAAGUCGCGCAACGAGCGCAACCCCUGUCCUUAGUUGCCAUCGGGUAAUGCCGGGCACUUUAAGGAGACAAACUCUCUUUGAGAGUGGGAAGGUGGGGAUGACGUCAAGUCAGGAUGGCCCUUACGGCCAGGGCUGCACACGUACUACAAUGCCCGGUACAGAGGGACGAUACGCCGCGAGGCGAUGCAAAUCUCAAAAA
rnacentral:rRNA from 1 species